rnacentral:rRNA from 1 species
UACGAAGGGGGCUAGCGUUGUUCGGAAUCACUGGGCGUAAAGGGCGCGUAGGCGGCUUUGUAAGUCGGGGGUGAAAGCCUGUAGCUCAACCACAGAAUUGCCUUCGAUACUGCGAGGCUUGAGACCGGAAGAGGUUAGUGGAACUGCGAGUGUAGAGGUGAAAUUCGUAGAUAUUCGCAAGAACACCAGUGGCGAAGGCGGCUGACUGGUCCGGUUCUGACGCUGAGGCGCGAAAGCGUGGGGAGCAAACAGG